rnacentral:rRNA from 1 species
GAUGAACGCUGGCGGCGUGCCUAAUACAUGCAAGUCGAGCGAACGGACGAGAAGCUUGCUUCUCUGAUGUUAGCGGCGGACGGGUGAGUAACACGUGGAUAACCUACCUAUAAGACUGGGAUAACUUCGGGAAACCGGAGCUAAUACCGGAUAAUAUUUUGAACCGCAUGGUUCAAAAGUGAAAGACGGUCUUGCUGUCACUUAUAGAUGGAUCCGCGCUGCAUUAGCUAGUUGGUAAGGUAACGGCUUACCAAGGCAACGAUGCAUAGCCGACCUGAGAGGGUGAUCGGCCACACUGGAACUGAGACGCGGUCCAGACUCCUACGGGAGGCAGCAGUAGGGAAUCUUCCGCAAUGGGCGAAAGCCUGACGGAGCAACGCCGCGUGAGUGAUGAAGGUCUUCGGAUCGUAAAACUCUGUUAUUAGGGAAGAACAUAUGUGUAAGUAACUGUGCACAUCUUGACGGUACCUAAUCAGAAAGCCACGGCUAACUACGUGCCAGCAGCCGCGGUAAUACGUAGGUGGCAAGCGUUAUCCGGAAUUAUUGGGCGUAAAGCGCGCGUAGGCGGUUUUUUAAGUCUGAUGUGAAAGCCCACGGCUCAACCGUGGAGGGUCAUUGGAAACUGGAAAACUUGAGUGCAGAAGAGGAAAGUGGAAUUCCAUGUGUAGCGGUGAAAUGCGCAGAGAUAUGGAGGAGCACCAGUGGCGAAGGCGACUUUCUGGUCUGUAACUGACGCUGAUGUGCGAAAGCGUGGGGAUCAAACAGGAUUAGAUACCCUGGUAGUCCACGCCGUAAACGAUGAGUGCUAAGUGUUAGGGGGUUUCCGCCCCUUAGUGCUGCAGCUAACGCAUUAAGCACUCCGCCUGGGGAGUACGACCGCAAGGUUGAAACUCAAAGGAAUUGACGGGGACCCGCACAAGCGGUGGAGCAUGUGGUUUAAUUCGAAGCAACGCGAAGAACCUUACCAAAUCUUGACAUCCUUUGACAACUCUAGAGAUAGAGCCUUCCCCUUCGGGGGACAAAGUGACAGGUGGUGCAUGGUUGUCGUCAGCUCGUGUCGUGAGAUGUUGGGUUAAGUCCCGCAACGAGCGCAACCCUUAAGCUUAGUUGCCAUCAUUAAGUUGGGCACUCUAAGUUGACUGCCGGUGACAAACCGGAGGAAGGUGGGGAUGACGUCAAAUCAUCAUGCCCCUUAUGAUUUGGGCUACACACGUGCUACAAUGGACAAUACAAAGGGCAGCGAAACCGCGAGGUCAAGCAAAUCCCAUAAAGUUGUUCUCAGUUCGGAUUGUAGUCUGCAACUCGACUACAUGAAGCUGGAAUCGCUAGUAAUCGUAGAUCAGCAUGCUACGGUGAAUACGUUCCCGGGUCU